GGACUACACGGGUAUCUAAUCCUGUUUGCUCCCCUAGCUUUCGUGCAUCAGCGUCAGUUAUGGUCCAGUGAGCCGCUUUCGCCACAGGUGUUCCUUCCGAUAUCUACGCAUUUCACCGCUACACCGGAAAUUCCACUCACCUCUCCCAUACUCAAGCCCGACAGUUUCCAGUGCAGACUAUGAGUUGAGCCCAUAGAUUUCACACUAGACUUGUCAAACCGCCUACGCACCCUUUACGCCCAAUAAUUCCGAACAACGCUCGCCCCCCUCGUAUUACCGCGGCUGCUGGCAC
rnacentral:rRNA from 1 species